AUGCCCGGCGCCGCGCCUCCUUUUGCUCACCCGAUUCCGAUUUGUGUUCCUGCAGGUUGGAUCGAGGGCAUUAGGCAGGAGAUGGACGUGGAGGGCAAGAUGAAUUUGGAGAUUGGAUCCAAGGACAUGGAGGUGGAGAGCAAGAACCUGAAGCUGGAGGAGCCACUGCCUUCCUCCGCGAUGGACAUGGACGAGCCUGGUGUUGCUGAGAGUGGCGAGGUGGAUGACAGCAAUGGCAGCUCCAAGGAGUGCCCCUUGACCCCCAGGGAUUCCAUGACCUCCAAGGUUCCUCUGGCCAAAGAGCCGAGAUCAGUCAGCACCGACUUUGGGGAUGAGCUGGACCUUGAGCUUGGGAGUGGAGAGCCAGAGCCCGGCAGGCAGCAGGAGAGGAAGCUCUCAAGGCAAGACCGGAUGGAGCUCAGCCAGUUGUUCCAGCAUGCCGUGAGCGCUCAUGAUUGGGAGUGCGCCGAUGGCUUGCUGGCCAAAGCUGAUGCACAGGGACUCAAUGAUGUGCUCUGCGUGGCGGUCGAUGCCAUUUGGUUCUUGAGCGACAAGGAGGAGCUGUAUGCCAUCGUCGCCUUGAUCAAGAGGAUUGUGUCGGCGGGUGCGAAUGAUUUCACACGCGCCGCGCUCCGGACAUCGUUCCUGGCAUCGUGUGUGUCGGCAUGCAGGGGGCGGACGACCAGCCUCGCCGAUGCCGUGAGCUUCAUGGGUCAAAAGUUGCAUGAACGCCUCCAAGAAUCCCAUGGCGAUGAGGUAUUGAAGGCAGAGGCAAGUGCAAAGGUACAUAAGUUCACAGAAUGGGCUCUGAAGUGCAUAGGAUUACACGCCCGUGUGCGGGCGAGUAGGGGCAAAGGAAACCAUGGCACAAUCAUUGAGGUUCAGCUUCAGCUAUCUGCUUUCAAGACAUUUCUGGAUAUUGCUGAUAAUGAUCUUACCGGGAAAGAUUUCACUGAGGCCUUUGAUGCUGCAUGCUUUCCUCUUACACUGUUCUCAAGCACCUUUGACCAAGGAUGGGCUGCAGGGAUCUCGGCAGCUGCUAUACAAGGUCUGUUAGAGCUGUUGGUAGAGGGUGGCGCAGACAAUGUGAACCAAUGCUUUCUUGAAGCUGCACGCUAUGGAAGCACUGAACUCGUUCGCAUCUUACUUCAGAUUGCUCAAAGGAACAGCUUGGACAUUGAUGUGGAUCUAGCCCUUGGCUUUGCUGCCCACUACGGGAAACUCGAAACCAUGGGGUGCUUAGUUGAGGAAGGUAAUACUGUCGCCUUCCUUGGCCCUUUAAUGCGGGCAGCUGAGCGUGGAUGCUUUCAAGUUGUGGAAUGGUUUGUGAACCGUGGCUGUCGGGACAUGGAGCUUUGCCUGGCCCUUACUGCUGCCACCUCUAGUAGCCAGGUUGAAGUUGCUGCGUAUCUCCUGCCUCUAGUCCCCCAACUUGUUCUUGCACCACUCAGCAUCGAGAUUGUUAAGGCUGCUGGCGAGAGGAGCACAGGUUCCCUCCAAGGUGUGGAUUUUCUUCUCCGGUCGGACUUCCUCAAUGACCCAGCCGCCACAUAUGCUGUAGCAGACAGCAUAGCAAGAUGCGCUGAUGAGGCUGUAGAUGCGAAGCUUAGGCUGUUCAUGCUCGAGCAGUGGUCAGAGGAAGCCUUCAACAAGGGAUUCGUGUCUUCACAAGAGCACUUUGUCAACAUUACAAGGAUAAUGCAAAGGGGCGAGUCGCCGGUCGUCCUGAGACAGCUCCCGCUUCAGCUGGUGAUCGCCAUGGCCUACCUGCCACUGUACAGGGAAUGCGUCGGGUCAGGUGGGCGGCUUCUGCCGCAGAGGCUAAGAGGCCAGCUCGUGGAGGCUGCAGGCAGGCUGGAGGGCCGGCAACUGGACAGGGGCAUGCAGCAAAGCGAGCUGCUGGCCAUCCUGGAGCACCACCUCCCGCGUUUUCUCGUUCAGACUUGA
rnacentral:rRNA from 1 species